CCUACGUGUGGCAGCAGUGAGGAAUAUUGGUCAAUGGGCGCGAGCCUGAACCAGCCAAGUAGCGUGAAGGAUGACUGCCCUACGGGUUGUAAACUUCUUUUAUAAAGGAAUAAAGUGAGGCACGUGUGCCUUUUUGUAUGUACUUUAUGAAUAAGGAUCGGCUAAAUCCGGGCCAGCAGCCGCGGUAAUACGGAGGAUCCGAGCUUUAUCCGGAUUUAUUGGGUUUAAAGGGAGCGUAGAUGGGUUGUUAAGUCAGUUGUGAAAGUUUGCGGCUCAACCGUAAAAUUGCAAUUGAUACUGGCAGUCUUGAGUACAGUUGAGGUAGGCGGAAUUCGUGGUGUAGCGGUGAAAUGCUUAGAUAUCACGAAGAACUCCGAUUGCGAAGGCAGCUUACUAAACUGCCACUGACAUUGAUGCUCGAAAGUGUGGGUAUCAAACAGGAUUAGAUACCCCAGUAGUC
rnacentral:rRNA from 1 species